rnacentral:rRNA from 1 species
GAUGAACGCUAGCGGGAGGCUUAAUACAUGCAAGUCGAGCGGGAUUCUCCUUCGGGAGAUGAGAGCGGCGCACGGGUGAGUAACGCGUACGUAACCUGCCUUACAGAGGGGAAUAGCCCUGGGAAACUGGGAUUAAUACUCCAUAGUAUAUAGAUGGCGCAUGCUGUUUAUAUUAAAGUUGAGGCGCUGUAAGAUGGGCGUGCGUGCUAUUAGCUAGUUGGUGAUGUAACGGCUCACCAAGGCUACGAUAGCUAGGGGGCGUGAGAGCGUGGCCCCCCCANACGGGUACUGAGACACGGACCCGACUCCUACGGGGAGGCAGCAGUAAGGAAUAUUGGACAAUGGUCGAAAGACUGA